rnacentral:lncRNA from 1 species
GCCGCAGCACACUCUCUAAUCGAGCUGUAACACUCGCCACUGCCGUCCACGGCUUCAUUCCUUGAAGCCGUGAGACCACGAACCCUUCGAUUGAGAAGAACCUUCGGUCGGAAGAAGACUUCUCGUCUCAGUAACAAUAACAAGAAAAACAGCCUAGACUAGACGCACAUCAGGAAGACAGUUAAUCCCGUCAUGUAUUGACCCGGAAACAUCAUCUCAUUUGCCUAUAAGACAGAGAGAGAGAAUGAUAGAAAUGCUGGAAGAACGAGCCUUGGGGCGGUAUCGCCCAGAUCUGAAUCCACACAGCAGCUGCUUCGGUCCCUGUAACUCAAGGCUUCCUCUUAAUCCUCUGUCCUCCAUCAACACCUGGCUGAGCAGGAACAACUAUGACCUAGGACCAGGGCCUUCAGGAAUCUUCACCCCUAACUUGAACUUCAUAACACUGGAGAGAGAGACUGUGGAAUGGAAUGACUCUCCAGAGCUGCAGAUUGAAGGCAUAUUUUCAUCUGACUUUGAUCUCAAUGGCGGGAACACCUUCAUGGCCCCUUUAUAGCUGGAUGAUCAUUUCCUGUUCUCUCCACCAUGGCCACCUGGUCCAAGCCACCAUCUUCAUGCACCUGGAUACCUGCCAUAACCUCAGCUGACCUUUCCUGUGUCCAUUCUUGUUCCUUUGGGCCCAGUCUCCUCGCUCAUAGCAGCAGAAUGAGUCUAUUAAAAAGUGAAACAAUUUCUGUCA